CCUGCCAAACCCGGAGGGCGGCGCGCGCGAACGGUGUCCGAUCCGCACGGCGGCGUCCUGGGGGGUCCACUGUGAGGACGGAGCUUCCUCUCCUCAGGACCCACCCAGGAGGGGCCGGGGCUUGGGACACCUGGGGCCGCGUCCGGUGUGAGGACUAGGAGACUUGCUGCAGCUCCGGGACACCUGGGGCCGCCGAGGCAAAGCAGGCGUAACCCAACACCUAUCCUCAGCUUUAAGAAUCCAAUAUUACCUUCACUCUGUGUGGAGACCGCAGUCCUCUGGAAAGGUGAAAGGGCUAAUCCUACUCUACAGAAGACUCCAGCUAAAUCAGAGGCCUGACUAUCUCCAACACCCAUAGCUUACUGCGGGUUUGAACUGCUCCAAAGUAAAACGUAUAAUUAAGUCCUGUUGAGUUAACAUGUGGAAGGCCUUUCCUAACCACAGAUCUCCUAAUAGAUGAAAUGAAUCUCCAUUACAAAAAUGUCAUCAAUCUGGGACAGGUGCAAAGGCACUCUGUGAAUAUGGAAACAAG
rnacentral:lncRNA from 1 species